rnacentral:rRNA from 1 species
GUGGGGAAUUUUGGACAAUGGGGGCAACCCUGAUCCAGCCAUCCCGCGUGUGCGACGAAGGCCUUCGGGUUGUAAAGCACUUUUGGCAGGAAAGAAAUUGCCUGGGUUAAUACCCUGGGUAGAUGACGGUACCUGCAGAAUAAGCACCGGCUAACUACGUGCCAGCAGCCGCGGUAAUACGUAGGGUGCAAGCGUUAAUCGGAAUUACUGGGCGUAAAGCGUGCGCAGGCGGUUCGGAAAGAAAGAUGUGAAAUCCCAGGGCUUAACCUUGGAACUGCAUUUUUAACUACCGGGCUAGAGUGCGUCAGAGGGGGGUGGAAUUCCGCGUGUAGCAGUGAAAUGCGUAGAUAUGCGGAGGAACACCGAUGGCGAAGGCAGCCCCCUGGGAUGACACUGACGCUCAUGCACGAAAGCGUGGGGAGCAAACAGGAUUAGAUACCCCAGUAGUCC